UGGAGUCCCAGUAUGUCUUUUCAGUCAUGAUUCCCAUUCCUAUGGCUGCGAUUUUGAUUGGCUGCACCCAAGGGUACAAUUAGUUCUCUGGGUGUGAUGACCAACAUUAUGGGAGCACAGAGUGAGACGAGACCUGACUGCUACAAGGAAAGUCCAAGAAGCCAUGUUGCUUCAUGAACUGCCCACGCAGUACGAGGCUAAGAAAACAACCCGGGUGACCUCCAGCAUUUUUGAGGCAUGGAUCAGGAACGUGGACAAGGCAUAUCAGUGAAAGAAAAGGAAGAUUGCCAUCAUUACCGACAGUUU